CUGAUCAGCCAUGCCGCGUGUGUGAGAGGCCUUAUGGUUGUAAAGCACUUUAAGCAGUGAAGAAUACAUCAUGGCUAAUAUCCGUGAUGAAUGACAUUAGCUGCAGAAUAAGCACCGGCUAACUCUGUGCCAGCAGCCGCGGUAAUACAGAGGGUGCGAGCGUUAAUCGGAAUUACUGGGCGUAAAGCGAGCGUAGGUGGUUUAUUAAGUCAGAUGUGAAAUCCCUGGGCUUAACCUAGGAACUGCAUCUGAUACUGACAAACUAGAGUAGGUGAGAGGAAAGUAGAAUUCCAGGUGUAGCGGUGAAAUGCGUAGAGAUCUGGAGGAAUACCGAUGGCGAAGGCAGCUUUCUGGCAUCAUACUGACACUGAGGUUCGAAAGCGUGGGUAGCAAACA
rnacentral:rRNA from 1 species